AUUCUAUUUCUUGCCUACGGAUUUCAAAUAGAUUUUGUAAUGCCCACACUUGCUUAGGGAAAAUAAUUUUUUUUUUCCUAAGGAUGGUAGGGUAAUGCUUUUUGUCUACAGAAGAAGUUUAAACUUGGCGACAACCUCAAAACUGUAGGAUUAUAAACUAUCUUACAAUUGCUCUAUGUGAUCAUCCAUCGGACGACUAAGAUCAUCCUACAUUCAUGCCAGCUUGCCGAAGAAAACAAGCGUGUUCUACCCUGGAUAUUUAUUUUGUUUGUUUGCAUCAAAGGUACGAUUCUUAGUUCUUGAAAUCUUUCUCACUAUUUAUUGACUUUAUGCAACAUUCUCAUAAACAUUUUAUCCAUCUUUAGUGAAAUUAGGAAGGGCGAAGCGGUUGUUGCUGGUGGUAAUUUGUUUUUUCAAUUAGAAGUUUCCUGUGUAAAUUUUAUGGUUUAUGUUUCCAUAGUUAAAUCAUGAUUAAGAUAAUGAUAUCGUUGACUGUCAAUCAGCUACGAUGAAGUUGCAAUUCAUACGGUUAUGCUAUAUUUGAAAACUCGCUGCAUCAAUCAGCUACUAUGAAGUUGCAUCUUACUACAAGAAGAAUAGGAAGAACAGGAAUCACAAUCUGUUGAAGAAAUGGAGGGUGAGAAGAGGAAGAAUGAUUUAAAAGAUUUAUUGACUCUGAAUGUACAAUGGAGAAAUGAAUUCCAUAAGAAUAUCCACAGGAAGCUAAAACUCAGAUGAAUUUCCAUCAAGAUUCUUGGUGCGGUAUCUAUUACCCAUGAUAGAGGCAUCUGUUGACGAAAACAUGAAGUCUAUACAACUUGCUGCUCAAAUUGAUCAA